UACGGAGGGUGCAAGCAUUAAUCGGAUUUAUUGGGCGUAAAGGGCGCGUAGGCGGGGAUGAAAGUCAGAUGUGAAAUCCCGGGGCUCAACCUCGGAACUGCAUUUGAUACUCCAUCUCUUGAGGAUAGGCGGAGAAAACGGGAUUCCACGUGUAGCGGUGAAAUGCGUAGAUAUGUGGAAGAACACCGGUGGCGAAAGCGGUUUUCUAGCUUAAACCUGACGCUGAGGCGCGAAAGCAAGGGGGAUCAAACAGGAUUAGAUACCCUGGUAGUCCUUGCCGUAAACGAUGUAUACUUGGUGUAGCUGGACUCAACCCCAGUUGUACCGGAGCUAACGCGUUAAGUAUACCGCCUGGGGAUACGCUCGCAAGAGUGAAACUCA
rnacentral:rRNA from 1 species